UACAGAGGUCUCAAGCGUUGUUCGGAUUCAUUGGGCGUAAAGGGUGCGUAGGUGGCGUCGUAAGUCAGGUGUGAAAUCUCGGGGCUCAACCCCGAAACUGCACUUGAUACUGCGAUGCUCGAGUACUGGAGAGGAGAUUGGAAUUUACGGUGUAGCAGUGAAAUGCGUAGAUAUCGUAAGGAAGACCAGUGGCGAAGGCGAAUCUCUGGGACGGUACUGACGCUGAGACGCGAAAGCGUGGGGAGCGAACAGG
rnacentral:rRNA from 1 species